UUAUUUCAUUAUUUUAGGGGCCGACUGAUGCUCCAUUACACACACACACACACACACACACACACACACACACACACACCCCACACCUUCUGUAUCCGUGCACCUGUUGGUGGACAUUUAGUAGUUUCCAUGUCUUGGCUAUUGUCAAUAGUCUGGGCUGUUAUGAACACUGGGGUCCAUCUAUCUUUUUGAAUUACACAUGUGUCUCAGUGUAUGCCCAGAAUUGGGACUUCAAGAUAUAUGGCAAAUAUUCUUAGACUAUUUGAGGAACCUUCAUAUUGCUUCCAAGUGGUUGCACCAGGUGACAUCCCCCCACCUGUUCUCCACACCCCCUCCAGCAUGGAUUAUUUGGACACGAGUUUCUCUUCCUGGCUCCUCCCCUCGGCUGCCGUCAAAGUCCCCGUCCCCAGUGGCUGCAGCACAAAACCUGUGCCGGUCGUGCAGACACUACACGGGGUCACCCCCACCCCCAGGGCACUCAAGCCUCCCUUCCACCCAUUUCCACCCUGGGUCUGGGCUCCUUGUCCUCCCAGAACCAGAACCGCUCCCUUCAUUAUCUUGGUGGGUUCACAUCCUAAUGAUCCAGAGGCUGAACUCAGGUUCAUAUACUCCAAUCAGCUUACCACAUACCAGGGAUUCUAAUCCAAAUGACGCUCAGUUCCUGCCUGCCAGGAAUUAGGACUAGACAAAAGAAAAGAGACACAUGUAAAUCUUAUCAUGAGGGACGGUAGGUUUUUUUUUUUUCCUGUUGGCCACACUGUGCAGCUUGCAGGAUCUCAGUUCCCCAAACAGGCAUUGAGCCCAGGGCCCCGGAAAUGAAAGUGCAGAGUCUUAACUACUAGACAUCCAGGGAAUUCCAAACUCCUGUUGUGUGUCCUUUGAAAUCUACACAGUCUCUCAAGAAGGAGUUUGCUUCUUACGGCUGCUGUUACCACCCAGCACACACAGAACACGAUCCUGAUCUUUGAGGUCUGGAGAUUUCUCUCUUCUAGAAGUCUGGCUUUGUCAGAAGGCCGUUGUAGCACGAGAAUAUACUCUUUCAAACAAUCCAAAGAAAACAUCAAACCAAAAGGCACAGGAAGAAUAGGAGCAAGCUACACGUGCUGCGAAGAAACAAGAAUUUGAGAGGCAAAAACGAGAGAGAAGAGAUGCUCCAAGAAGUGUGGUGGGUUCGGUGGCUCCGCACUCAAAGCAGUGGACUGGCCAGAACAAACUUUCCUGGAAUAUUGAGCUGCCUUGGACAACAGAUGGUUUCUCCAGAAGUUAGAGAUGUUUAACUCUGAGCAGCCUUAUCAGAAUCUGAAACCCCUGCCAGAUGGAAGAAGUGAACUGUCCUGCCCACAAGCAGGAAGAGCUGAGACCGGCUGGAACCACAAGGGUGAUGCUGCUGCUCCCCGAGACCUCAUCACAGACCCAACAGAAGAGCAUCCUCGGGUUGAUCAGGCUCUGCUCCUUGAACACCAUAAGACGCCUCAGACCCCUCCAGGACCAGACACACAGCCUUUUAUUUAUGUUAAAAUUUUAUUUAUCUAUUCAUUUCGCUGCCUUGGUUCUGAUUUGCAGGUGCAGGAUAGUCCCUACCUCUGGUGGGAUCUUGCGCAGAGACUCACCAGCUGUGGGGCGAGGGCUCAGCUGCUCCUGGGCUGUGAGAUCUUAGAGUCCCCAUCAGGGAUCAAACUCAGGUCCUCUGCAUUUCAAGGUGGACUCUAAACCACUGGACGACUGGAAGUCCCAGGACACAGGGACAUUAGGAACAUUGAGGGCAUUAGCCUGCUUGGUUCCCCGUGUAUGGCAAAGCAGUAAAGCUGGUUUUUCCAUUUCACUUUUAAAACUCUCUCUCUCAGAUGUAAUCUGGCCCCAGGACACAGAGGCCCAAUUUUGGCAAGGAGAUCUGGAGAGAGGCCAGGAGCCAUUGGAAGAACAGGGUCCUGGGGGCAGGAGGGCUGAGAGACCUGAGUCCCAGUGGGGUGGAAGGCUGCGAGGGGCCAAACGGGACAUUCCGGAGGGGAGCCCUGAGGAGGCAACCUAGGUAGCAGGCGCGGCGCUGCGGCGCAGACCCGGGGCUGCGGAGACGGACUCCCGAUCUCACCGGAGCGGCCACAGAAGCCGGGGCGGCCCUGAGAGGGGUCGGGGCUCACAGGGCCCGGGCGCCAGUCAUCAAGGGAGAGAACAGGGUCAGAACAGGGAAAAGGAGAAGCUCUGCGCCACGAAGGCGACCCCGGAGGGUAAGGACCGGCCCGGAGGGGAAGCGUGUGGACCAGGGUGUGGACUCCAAGAUGCUCUGUGCUUCCCAAGGCGGGGCCCAGGAGGCUGGCGGUUCCAACAGCGCUGGAUGCACCUGAGGCCUCUUGCCUCAAGAACGGAAACAGGAGGCAGCCCGUCCAUCCCUUCCGAUCAGAGUUAUUACUCUCCCUGACUUGUCUCACCCACCCCUCAGGGCAGUGCCCCUCUCUUCACCCCUCGCCCCCUAAACUCGUCCCCCAUCCCCGGCUUUUCUAGAUUCUUCUGGGCUCUGCACACUCCGAGGCCUGCCCCAUCCUCCAUUCCCUCCCCCUCCCCGCUCUCCAGGUUCGAGAUUUCAGACAGGCUGGGACCUGGGCUGCAGUGCUUCCUCGUGGACACACAGCUUCUUGAGCCACAGACAGCAAGGAAACCACAAGGGACUAACAAUCACUACAUACACGAGCAGUGGGGGCAAGUGAUGCACCAGGUCAAAAAAGAAAAGAUCAAAACUCCAGUCACCCCUUCAGAGCUGGAGAGCUAAAGUGGGGUCCUGGACGUGAUGCCCGCACACAGCACCACCAAGGGGCUGCACAGACCUCGCAUUCAGCCCUCCCGCCCAACGCUGGACCCAGCCCGCCCUCACCCCAUUUAAUGGAGCGGAUUUCCCACAUGUGCCCUGACAUCCCCUCACCCCCAGGAGCAAACAAGGGAUCUUGUCACUUGUUGGACUUCCUUC